rnacentral:lncRNA from 1 species
CUGUCACGGAUCCCUCCGGAACUUUCAUCACGCACACCUGUCCCCUAUUCCCACUGAUUAAUAUUUGUAUAUAUGUGCCCUUUGGUUUCCAUGGUCUUGUCGAUUAUUGUUACAAUGUCCGUUGGUGCGUGUGAGUAGCUGUGUUGUGUGUUUUGGGCUUUCGUGUCGUUGUGGAUGCGCAGAUGAUUACGGGUCUGUGUGUUAAUCAUCGUGCGCGUGUGUUAUUUAUUCAAGGUACUCCUCGCUCUUUUGUUUGGGUUUCAACUCUGUGUUUUUGUUACGUGUUUGUUUGAGACCAAACAAUACUCUAGAAAUCAUAUGGAGGUCAAUUAUACUACUCAGCCUUUAUAUGCUGUGUACUGCAUGUGGCCUUCAUAUGUAAAAAACGGCUUUAUGGUAAAGCAUACUAAUGCAUACUUUUCAGAUAUUAUUUUGUGUGGAUCCCCAUUGAGGCCUUUCCUCGCGUUCAUCAGAAAUUAAUAGAGAUGGCUUCCAGCCUGUUGUCUGCAGAAUGCAUUCAUUCAUUUUGUGUGUGUGUGUGUGUGUGUGUGUAUUUUCCUCACCAUGCCGCUGCCUGAAGUUUGAUUUUCACAGUGCUAGAGAUCCAGACAGAAAGCAAUCAAGGGCUUUGGGAUGUCACAGCCAUGUCUAGGUGAAGAAUGUACAGUAGAAAAUGUAGUGGAGAAUUGGGAAAAGUGAACAUUAUCCAAAAUUCUGCUUGUCUAACACAUUGAUGCUCUAGCCGUAAACUGCAUUCAUCUGGGUUUCUUUGCAAAUGUUGAGGUUUAUGUCUAUAUAAAAUGUAACAUCUGCUCAAAAUUCUAAUCUGUGACUAGAUUCUUAUCAUCCUAUGUGUUGUCCUCAGUAUACAGUAAUCCUACACUGUUAUCUUGCUCAGAGGUGAAAGGGAAAGACCACAUGCAGCAUAAAAAAUGCACAAUCAUUGAUUUGUGGAACUGUGAGUAACUCGUACUCCCUAUGAAGGCUUCAGCCUUCACCAUAUAAAAUAUAGAAUAUACAGCUAUUGACGCAACUCUUUUCAAUUCCCUUUAAACAAGAAUGCGUUUCAAUGCUCAUCAAAACAGCGAUGGCAGGAUCAUGCCGAAAAGAAUCCAACGCCUUGAACAGCGUCAGAAACCAAACUUUCCCACCCUUGACCCAACAUGUUUUCCUCCAAGUUAUAGGGUUUCUGGAAGGACUGUGGGGGGAUGGACUGUGAGGGGAUGGCAGAGGCUCGCCUUGUAGGAGACUGUUGCUGAUUACUGCUGACGUGUGGUGGUCUCUAAGGCGCUUAUAGCUGACGAAGCAUCACCCAGGUGGGUGCUACACUUUUCAGUGGUGAAUCUGUAUCGACCGCGGGGGAGGAGUCGCUGUGAACUUCAGAGACAAAGGUGCCUGAUGAAUAGCUCCGGGGCCUGCCUGUCUGAAUAAUCUUACUCCCUAGCUGGCCAAUCGACACCAGCUUGACUAAAGCUUCUCCUGUACAUAACUGCAUCAUCGUCCAGCUGUGGAAGACCAUCUCCCCUGUAUUGCCAGCUCCCUGACAUCUUUUUUUUUGUGUGUGACUGAGAAUCUGUACGAAAAGUGCUAUUAUUAUUAUUAAGAUCCUAUUAAAUUACUAGAGGCGCUAUGUUAUAAACCCUCAAAGUUCCAGAAUGGUAUGAAAAUGGCAGCCAUUGUGGUCAGGCAGAAAUCCAAACCAGUCUUAUUGGGAUGAAUGGCAGUAGAGGCAUAGGUGAUGCAUUCCUUAUUUUACUGAUGCAGGGAAAUAAAAGUAAGGCAUGUGCAGGGGUGUCAUUUCAGCUAAACCUAGGGUAUGGCAAAGUGCAGUGGGUGGGGUUUAAUGAAAUGAAAUCUAUGAAAUGUAUGCAUUCACUACUGUAAGUCGCUCUGGAUAAGAGCGUCUGCUAAAUGACUAAAAUGUAAAAUGUAAAAAAAUUAAGUUCAAGCUCAUUUACUGCAUUUGUACACAAUUCAAAACUCUAAAAUGCAUUUUGGAGAACAGCAAAAGCAACCAAAAUUUACUCCAGCCAUCAUUAAAAUGCAAAUCAAUGAUCAAUCAAAAACAUGCGUUUUUCUGGAUUUUUGUUGUUGUUAUUCUGUCUCUCACUGUUCAAAUAAACCUACCAUUAAAAUUAAA